CACCUGCCUGCAACCAGGUGAAGGCCCAGGCACCAGGCCCAGCUGGAGCAGCUAGAAAAGCUGAGCCCACUCUGGAUAAAAGAGCUUUUCAUCACAGCUUCUUCAUAGCCUGGCGGUCUCAGGAUCCUGGAGAGUGGAAAACAGGAACUGUAAGAUCUCUUAAGGGCUUGCCUUCAAGGUCACACUACAUCGUGUCUGCUGCACCUUCCAGAACAAAGCAAAUAAGAUCAGUCCGGAUGCAAAACAUAGGAAAACAGACUCUCCCUCUUGAUGGGGUCAGAGCAAAAAUCUUGUGACCAAAUUGGCUCUCCCACGUUCCAUUACAGUUACACGGAUUGUGUGCAGUGAGAGAAAGCAGGAAGCGAUUGCGGCCCAGCUACGCACAGGGGGAUGACUGUGUGCAGAGACACAAUGAGGAAGGACCAUCGCAAGCCGCAGAGACAGGCCACAGCAGAGCCUCUCCUGCAGCCUCAGAAGGAGCCAGCCCUGCCGACACCUGGACCUCCGGCUUCCAGCCGCCAGAGCUGCGGGACAAGACAUAUCUGUCAUUUUGUCUGUGGCACUUUGUUACAAAACCCCAGGAAAUGAAUACAAUUUAUACCUUUACACAUCUCA